GACGAACGCUGGCGGCGGGCUUAACACAUGCAAGUCGAGCGGAAAGGCCCUUCGUUGGUGUGCGGCUCGAGUGGCGAACGGGUGAGUAACACGUGAGUGUACUGCCCUUUCCUUUGGGAUAACUUCAGGAAACGGGGGCUAGUACCGGUUACGCGCUGCUGCUGCAUGGGGGGGCUUGGAGAGUUUCGGAGGCUGGUGAUUGUGUCGCGGGUUGUCAGCCUGUUGGUGGGGUAGUGGCUUACUAAGGCUUUGACGGGCAGCCGGCCUGAGAGGGUGACCGGCCCAAUUGGGACUGAGAUACGGCCCGGACCCGUACGGGAGGCAGCAGUGGGGAAUAUUGCACGAUGGGCGGAAGCCUGGUGCAGCAACGCCGCGUGCGGGAUGACGGCCUUCGGGUUGUAAACCGCUUUCGCCUGUGACGAAGCGUGCGUGACGGUAAUGGGUAAAGAAGCACCGGCUAACUACGUG
rnacentral:rRNA from 1 species